UGGAAGUGGGAAUCGGGGGCAAGGAUUCCUCUGGAAAACUACCCAAGGUAUCACAAAUACCUGCGCUCCAGCUUGCGUAGUUCACCGCUCCCUACAAGCUCUAAAGCACAGUGCCUCCAUGGCAGACGCCGGUAGGCCUGCUGAACACGCAGCAAAAUCAACGAAACCGAGGAGACAUUCGCAUCCGCAUGUCAUCAACAAUAGUGCCGUGCCGUCACCUGUGCACGACUCGCGUGCAUCUCCUGCGGUGAAGCGACACGACGACGGCUACGCGGCGAAACACCUGGUACCCGAGGCGCCACCUCUCAGUCCUGAAGGGGACCAGCACAGUGGUUCCUCCGCAGCCGCAAAGUCUGGAAGCCACUUGCCGUUGGCGUCAAUGCCCCAGCCCAAAGAACAUUUCCAGGGCGGACCUCAGCCGCUAUCACCUACACCUGCUGUACAUGAGGUGCACAAUAUAUAUUUCUGUACCUUCGCAA